GAGCAAAUCGAAUAGGUAGGGCAGAGGGGGGGUUGGAAAUAGGGGUUAGGAGGGGGGAAGAGAGUGCAAAAAUAGAAAUUCCCUUUGUUUGAAGGAGAUCAGGCAGCAGGAGCUCUGUGCUGAGACAGGUUGGAGGGAGACUGGGGCCUCAUCUCCAGUAUAUUAUGAGAAAAUUUAAAAUAUACAGUGCUUUUUUUUCUUAAAAAAAAUAAGUUUAGGGGUACUCUCAUUCCGUCUGAGACUCAGGAAGCACCGUGACUGGAAAUGAGGCCCCCAUCGGGGGUCGCAAUGAAACUGACGAUUCACCUUGCUAGAGAAGAAAUUAAUUUUUUGAAAAUUUUUAGCUUCUUCUCUCAUUAGAUUCACAAAAUGUUUAGGGGUACCCCUGUGUCCCCCCAGAAAAAAGCACUGAAUAUAAGAUAAGAUAUAUGAUAUAUGAUAUAAUAUAAGUGGAAAAUAUAUAUACAGUCAUUGUUGUUAUUUAGUCGUUUAGUCAUGUCCGACUCUUCGUGACCCCACGGACCAGAGCACGCCAGGCACUCCUGUCUUCCACUGCCUCCCGCAGUUUGGUCAAAUUCAUGUCUGUAGCUUCGAGAACACUGUCCCACCAUCUCGUCCUCUGUCGUCCCCUUCUCCUUGUGCCCUCCAUCUUUCCCAACAUCAGGGUCUUUUCCAGGGAGUCUUCUCUUCUCAUGAGGUGGCCAAAGUAUUGGAGCCUCAGCUUCAGGAUCUGUCCUUCCAGUGAGAACUCAGGCCUGAUCUCCUUCAGAAUUGAGAGGUUUGCUCUUCUUGCAGUCCAUGGGACUCUCAAGAGUCUCCUCCAGCACCAGAAUUCAAAAGCAUCAAUUCUUCGGUGAUCAGCCUUCUUUAUGGUCCAGCUCUCACUUCCAUUAGAUUCACAAAAUGUUUAGGGGUGUGCGUACCCCUGUGUCCCCCAGAAAAAAGCACUGAAAUUAAUAUAAUAUAUAUUCUCCAAAUAUUUCUAUUAGUUUUCAGUAUGGCAAAAUACAGAUUCGACCAACAUAACUUCUUAGAAACAAUGGAUAAGUAUGCACGUUUUGCAAUAAAUAUAACCUGCACUACAUAUUUAAAGCAGCAUCAUACUGGAGAUAAUAGUUUUCCCCUCACCCUAUAAAGGGGGAUUUAUUGUUUAAACCACUCUGUAAAUUGUAGCUGUAGGAGGGGAACAGAGGUCUGCUAAGAGCUCCCUUAACAAACCACAGCUCCCAUACUUUUGGGGGAAGAAGCUACGAUAUGGAAUCAUAGUAUUGUGGAGUUGGAAGGGAACCCUGAGGGUCAUCUAUUCCAACCCCCUGCAAUGCAGGACAGUUUAAACCAGUAUCAUGUAACCAAGAUGAUGGACUAUGCCGAAAUGGCAAAGAUGAUCACCAGGAUCAGGCACCAAGACGACAAGAAAUUCAGUCAAGAGUGGAAAAAGUUUAUAGAAUAUCUUAAAGACCACUGUGUAUACUUAAAAAUGUUAGUGGGAUUGUUGCAACACUGAUAACUGAGUUAAGGUAAAAAACGAGAUAAAAUGGAUUAGAAAAAUAGGGGGAAAUUGGAAACCGGGGGGGGGGGGGAGGGAGUCCGAUGUGAAAGUAUAAUAAUACUGUUUUAAAAAUUGAAAUAAAGUAUUUCUUUU